GGUUCCGAAAUUGUAGUGGUUAUCACGUUCGCCCCACGCAAAAGGCCCUCGGUUCGGAUCCCGGACGGAACCA